rnacentral:lncRNA from 1 species
CCGGGGAAGGGAAGGGGAGGGGAGGGGCACCGCGGCUGCGGACGCUGGGUGUGUAGCGGAAAGAGCGCUUGGGAAUCUGCGACCGAUCGUCCAGAGAGGGCAGACUACCGGAGCGAGGUUACACAGCGCUGGCCGCGGUGGCGCGCGAACUUGGAAACCUGGGUUAUUGAGUGGGUCGGCAGGAAGGUGUUUUGGCUGCGUUCACUGUGGGGUAGGAAAACUGAGGCACGGGAAAGAUGCGGCUGGUCUGGGUCUCGCUGCGGGAGUCAGGCUUCUUCUCACCCCUCUUUCUCCCGUUAGGGUUCUUGCCUCUAGGAUCGGGUGCCCCCUCCCGGUGACCCGCUUCCUGGAGAACCCUUGUUUUGGGCAGCAGUACCUGGCUGGCUAACGCAUCUCUGGAAUUCGUGGCCGGGCACCUGUCCUCCCUCUCACGGGGGCUCUGUGAUCACGGACCAUAGUCCGUGCUUCUCCCUGAGCUCGUUUUUCUACCCGCACAAUCGGGACCACAUAAGCAUCUACCUCCUUAAGAAACCGAAGAGAUAAAGAAUAGAGGGUUUGUGCUGUUUGGACUCCCACCAACUACAGCUACUGGCCCAGAGGAGAUCUGCCAUGACCCAUGCUGCAGGAAUUGGCUUCCUGGCUAAGAUAGGCAGAGGAAAGCCUCCUACUUCCUCUCCUUUCUGCUUUCAUGUCACAUACAUAUAAUGUGCAUAUAUUUAAAUGUAGAUUCUGCGUAUUUGAGAAAACACACACUGUUUGUCUCCUCGAGGCUGCUCUAUUUUCUCACCACAAUAAUCCCCGGGUCCAUCCAUUUCCCUGCAAAGAACAUGAUUUCACUGUCCUUGUGACUGAAUGAAACUCUACUGUGUAUAUGCCACCAUCACACACACACACAUACACAUAUAUAUGCAUACAUACAUAUAUACAUUAUAUAUGCAUACAUACACACACAUAAUUUAGACUGUUUGAAAAUGUAAACAUUUCCUUUAAAUGAUAAAAAGUGAGUUAGAACAUAUUUACUACUGUGGGAUUGAGCCAUGCAGGACUCUCCAAGUUCCUUGGUUUAGGCGGGGCUCCCAGGCAGGAAAUGAAGGGACAAUGACACCGAAUUUUCCUUUCUGUGAGGUUAAAGAGCAGAAGUCUAGGCAGGCUUCCUGAAGGAGGUGACAAGGAGUGACACAGGGAGAUGCCUCCAGCUGAGAAAACAGAAAACACAAAGUCAGUGUUGGGCUAGGUGAGAGAAAGCAUCAGGAGGUUCACAAAGGGUAAACAUGUGGUAGGCAUGAUGCCUGUGCUUCUUAGCUACUGGGGUCGUGAAUCAAGGCCAUGACCAUUUGUCACUGUAUGCCCACAGACCGGCAAAAAUGACUAGGACAAUCGCAAAAGUUAGCGAAGAUGAAGCUCAGAGGCAGCCCUGACAUCCUAUUGGAAGGAGGGGGAGCUAGACCACCCACAGGAUCCACCAAUCUCACUGCUGCUCCACAUACAGCAUCCCUUCAGUUCCCAAGCAGGCCCCCUCAGCAGGACCCUGGAGUCUGAAUGCCUACUAAGUUCCUAAGGAAGCUACCCUGUAGGUCCCCACGCUACAGUGAGUGGAGGUGGGAGAUGCCCAGGAAGGUGCACAGAGACCUUUUGCAAUGCAGAAGACCUGAAGGCAGUCCAAUUAGCAACCGCAGGGAGGGUAAAUCAAUGAACAAGUGAACAGUGAUAUAGACGCCGCGGCCGUAGAACAACGGGAUCAGGAUCACACCCAACAUAAACAGAUUCCAAUCAACAGUCACUGGACAAAAGCCCGCACAAGGUGGUAGCUGUGAGCAUACAGUAACAAGCAGGAGCAAAGGCAUGUCAUCUUGAUACUCAUACAUACAGUGACACUGAGAAUGAGGUGGACCAGGGAGAAGCUCACUUAAUACGGUGUGUUCAUUCUAAACCUAUGCCCGCACCAAUGCUGAAGGGCACCGUGGAGGCAGGGUUGUUAGCUCCGAGUGUCUGAGAUACUAAAAAAAAAAGGGGGGGGGGGAGGAGGAGAGGGCUGGGGAAGCCCAGUUGGUAAAGCGCCUGCUGUCUGAGCAUCAGGACAUCAGCUCGGGUCUCCAGAAUCCAUGUAAAAAGUGGGAGAGGGGAGCAAGGAUGGGGGAUCCCAGAAGCUUGUUGGCUGGCCAGCCUAGCCAAGUUGAUGAGCUUUAGGUCCAGGGAGAGACCUUGUCUCAAGAAAGGAACAUGGAGACUGACUAAGGAAAGACCUCUGGCCAGACACACAUUCAUAGGCAUAUGCACUAGCACCCACAUGUGCAUGAGCACUCCACACACAAACCACAUAUCUCCUGUCUCUCUCUUUCCCUCCCUCCUGCCCUCCUCCCCCCUCAAUACAACAUCAACAACAAUGACAACAGGACCCCGGGGAGAACGCUCAGAUGAAGAGCUUGCCACAUGAAUUGAGGACUGGAGUUCUGAUGCCCAGAACUCAUGCAAACCAGGUGAGGUGCUGUGAGUCUGUAAUCCUGGCACUCCACAGCCAGAUGGGAGGUGAAGACAGGGGGCUUAGGCACCAGCUAGUCCUUCGAUCGCAGACGGUGACGAGAGAGCCUGUCUCAAGCAAGCAGACGCUGAGGGCAAAUACGUCGAGUUUAUAAUUAAAACACUUAAAAUGGA